rnacentral:rRNA from 1 species
AACACGUGGGUAAUUUACCUUUAAGUCGGGGACAACCCUUCGAAAGGAGGGCUAAUACCGGAUGUGAUCUCCUGUCGCAUGAUAGGAAGAUUAAAGGCGGGGACCUUUAGGGGCCUGUCGCUUGAAGAGAAGCCCGCGUCCCAUCAGCUUGUUGGUGAGGUAAUGGCUCACCAGGGCUUACGGGUAGCUGGUCUGAGAGGAUGACCAGCCACACUAGGACUGAGACACUGCCCAGACUCCUACGGGAGGCUGCAGUCGAGGAUCAUUUGCAAUGCGCGAAAGCGUGACAAUGCGACGCUGCGUGAAGGAUGAAGGCCUUCGGGUUGUAAACUUUUGUCAUUCGGAAACAAAGGCAAGAGGGGUAAUACCCCUUUUUGAUUGAGGGUACCGGAAGAGGAAGCCACGGCUAACUCUGUGCCAGCAGCCGCGGUAAUACAGAGGUGGCGAGCGUUGUUCGGAUUUACUGGGCGUAAAGAGUGCGUAGGUGGUUUAGUAUGUCGGAUGUGAAAGCCCAUGGCUCAACCGUGGAAGUGCAUCCGAAACUGCUAAGCUAGAGUGCAGGAUGGGAGAGCGGAAUUUUUGGUGUAGCGGUGAAAUGCGUUGAUAUCAAGAAGAACACCGGUGGCGAAGGCGGCUCUCUGGAAUGUUACUGACACUGAGGCACGAAAGCUGGGGGAGCGAACAGGAUUAGAUACCCUGGUAGUCCCAGCCGUAAACGGUGUGAACUUGGUGUAGGGGGAAUUGACCCCCCCUGUGCCGUAGCAAACGCGUUAAGUUCACCGCCUGGGGAGUACGACCGCAAGGUUAAAACUCAAAGAAAUUGACGGGGGCCCGCACAAGCGGAGGAGCAUGUGGCUUAAUUCGAUGCAACGCGAAGAACCUUACCAGGGCUUGACAUGCAGCUGCACGCCUCCUGAAAGGGAGGAAGCUUUCGAAGGUGCUGCGCAGGUGCUGCAUGGCUGUCGUCAGUUCGUGCCGUGAGGUGUUGGGUUAAGUCCCGCAACGAACGCAACCCUUAUGUUUAGUUGCCACUCCAACUUCGGUUGGAAGCACUCUAGACAGACUGGCCGUGCAAGCGGGAGGAAGGUGGGGAUGACGUCAAGUCAGUAUGGCCCUUACGCCCUGGGCUGCACACGUGCUACAAUGACAGGUACAGAAGGAUGCAAUAUCGCGAGAUGGAGCAAAUCCUCAAAACCUGUCCCAGUUCGGAUUGGAGUCUGCAACUCGACUCCAUGAAGUUGGAUUCGCUAGUAACGGCGUAUCAGCAACGACGCCGUGAAUACGUUCCCGGGCCUUGUACACACCGCCCGUCACAUCAUGAAAGCCGUCUGCACUCGUAGUCGUUGAUCCAACCUGCAAAGGAGGAAGGCGCCGAAGGUGUGGGUGGUGAUUGGGAUGAAGUCGUAACAAGGUA